AGGAUAUGUUGUGGUGGAGCAGCGAUACAUGGACUCAAAGUUAAUACCCGCUAACGAUGAUCAUCCAUCACACGACGUUUAUCAGGGACAAAUGUUCGUAAAGGAGGUAUAUGAAACCCUAAGGGCAAGCCCACAGUGGAACCAAACCCUUUUCAUCAUUACCUACGAUGAGCACGGUGGGUUCUUCGACCACGUCCCUACACCUGUCACCGGGGUCCCUAGCCCGGAUGGAAUUAUAGGACCCGAACCAUUUAACUUUGAGUUCGAUAGGUUGGGAGUUCGAGUUCCUACUAUUAUGAUCUCUCCUUGGAUCGAAAAGGGCACAGUUGUUCAUGGUCCUAAUGGCUCUCCGUUUCCGACGUCGGAAUAUGAACAUUCAUCAAUUCCAGCAACAGUGAAGAAGAUCUUUGAUUUGCCAUCACCAUUUCUUACUAAAAGAGAUGCAUGGGCUGGCACUUUUGAACACAUUCUACAGAUAAGAAAGGAGCCUAGAACUGAUUGUCCUGAAAAACUUCCAACUCCAACAAAGAUAAGAAAGGGAGAAGCAAAUGAAGAUAAAAACAUAAGUGAAUUCCAGGAAGAACUAGUUCAACUCGCCGCGGUUCUAAAAGGAGAUCAUCUACUAACAAGUUAUCCAGAAAAGAUAGGCAAAGGAAUGACUGUAAGAGAAGGGAAAGCUUAUAUGGAAGACGCGGUUAAACGCUUCUUUGAAGCUGGAUUAGCUGCCAAGAAAAUUGGUGUUGAUGAAGAACAAAUUGUACAAAUGAGGCCUUCACUCACUACAAGAUCAUCAUCUACUAAUUUGCAACCUUAACAUAUAUGUAAUCAAAUGAAAUAAUGUACAAAUAUGGUAUUACUGAAGCCAUAUUAUGAUGUAAUUAUAUGGUUCAAAGGUGCAUUAUAAUCGA
rnacentral:misc_RNA from 1 species